GGUAUAUUGGGCAGGAGAGGGUGGUGAGAAAGACGGUGCUGAAUUAGUGCUGUGCAGGGUGGUGGGUGAUGCUUGUUGCUCAGGUCUUAAGCAUAUCCAUGUAGCAGAAUGAUGCUGCUGUUGAUAGGAAUCAGUAAAUCAGGAAGAGAAGCAAGUGUUUAAGUUUUUUAAUGGUUCUGGAAUUUUGGUUAUACUGAAUUCAAUUUGAGAGCGCACAUUUAGAAUCCGGGAAGUACAGAAAGAGCCAGAGAAUGAGUUGGGAGAAGUCUGAGAGGUUGGAGGAGCAUCCAGAUGGUAUUGGAAAUGGGGAGGGGAGGAUUUCAAGUCAGCACAUGGCCGUCCUUGCCUCUGCAAGUGAAGGUGACAACUUCGAGAGAGCCUCUGUUAUGCAUACAUGUGAGAUGGCUUCUGUUUCUUGCUUUGGCUUCUGAACUUUGCUAAAGCACUUCUGCUGUCUUCAGGAGUAGACAAGACUCCCCGACCGGAGCCUAGGAAAGCCAGCCUCUCUCCCUACUCAUGUAACCUCUGUGAACCGCGCGGGCUGCCAGGUAUGCUGGAGAUCCGGUGGGUGCAACUGCGCCGAGACCAAGGGCAAGAUAAUCAGUCCAAGGAGACAGUUAAUUUUAGUACAAAAGAAGUUAGAUGUGAUUUAUUUCCAACACCAAUGAACCAGAAGAGCUAACAAUCAUCGGAACAAAACACAGAACUGCCAAAUACUCCAGGACUCACAGGCGACGGUGUGAAAUGCGACCAGUCAACUCUCAGCUAACUCGCUUCUUGUACAUCACCCUAAAAAUAAGGAAAAGCAGCUGCGGGAGAGAUUUCAUCAAUCAUGCAACCACUGCUCUGCUUUCUAGUCCUGAAACCAAAUUCACAGGAGAAUCUAAUAAAUGACCUCAAUGC
ensembl:lncRNA